rnacentral:misc_RNA from 1 species
CUUGCCCAAAGUCGCACGUGCCUGUGGGUGUCCGCCGAUCCUCAAAAUGGUGAGGGAUAUCGGUAAGGUAACUGGAGCUAACCCCUCCAGUCGGUUUAGCGGCCAACCGCCAGACCGAGGACACCUUGAAGCAACGACGGUGCGGGCCUUUCUGGUGUUCUGCCGGUCGUCCAAAGACCGGGGUUACUGAAGAGGCACACCUUCAUUGCCGGCAGUGCGGAACGGGUUCUCCCAAUCCAAGCCAAGGCAGACAAAGCGAACCGAGGCCGGGCAAGGCCAAGGUUCACCGCCGCGAGACGGCGCUUCAUGGUU